CCUCUACUUUACAUUGGAAGCACUGCUGUGAGCUAUUUUAUUAAGUGCUUCCCAUGUUUGAGUGUGG
rnacentral:pre_miRNA from 15 species